rnacentral:rRNA from 1 species
AUUGAACGCUGGCGGCAGGCCUAACACAUGCAAGUCGAACGAGUGGCGGACGGGUGAGUAAUGUCUGGGCAACUGCCUGAUGGAGGGGGAUAACUACUGGAAACGGUAGCUAAUACCGCAUACCAUCGGAUGUGCCCAGAUUGGAUUAGCUAGUAGGUGGGGUAACGGCUCACCUAGGCGACGAUCCCUAGCCGGUCUGAGAGGAUGACCAGCCACACUGGGACGGAGACACGGUCCAGACUCCUACGGGAGGCAGCAGUGGGGAAUAUUGGGCAAUGGGCGAAAGCCUGAUGCAGCCAUGCCGCGUGUAUGAAGAAGGCCUUCGGGUUGUAAAGUACUGUCAGCGGGGAGGCGUUACCCGCAGAAGAAGCACCGGCUAACUCCGUGCCAGCAGCCGCGGUAAUAC